UAUUCCUGAAACAGUUGUCAACCAAGAUUGUACAAACAACAAAAUAUUAAUAUCGGGAAACAACAUCAUUAAAAUUAAAAAUUGUACCAUGCAAAUAGAUGAAUUCCUAAUUUCUAAUCUCUAAAUCUAGCAAAUUUUACACAAGCGAUUUAUAUUACCAACAAUGUUACACGUUUAGAACCAAUAAAUCACUUAGAAACAAGAGAAAUGAUAAAAUUGCAUGUAAAACACUACAGCUUUUCCCAAAUUAUAUGCAUUACAACUUUUGUUAGUCGUGCCCUAAAUUUCAUCAUACAGCAAAUAAAAUGCCACGACCAAGGCGUACUAAUAUUAGUCGCCGUACACGUAAUGCUAAUACUUUAAGGUCGAAUAGAACAUUGCAAAGUGAGGAAGAGCGUGCACAAAUUAAUGCAGAUAAAAGAGAUCGAUAUGCACGAAAUCGAAACUCACCUAAUCGACCUAUUGAUAGGCAGCUACCUCGAAAUCGGCCAAUGCGAGCGGGAGUUCGUGUUUUGCAGCAAACUCUCCUUGCUGCUUUUAAUUACGAUAGUGCGAUUGAUUACAGUGCAUCUGGCUGUAUUGGUGGAAUGACGGUGAGAUGUGCACAUUGUGGUGCAGCCAAAUUUCCAAAUGAAACAGAUGGCAUGUGCUGUGCUAACGGCAAAGUGAAAUUUCCUACAUUUGAAUCUCAGCCUGAUCCACUACGUUCGCUGAUUUAGGAAUGGUAUCAACGUCGACACAUUUUUUGUCUCAUAUUCAAGAAUACAUCAUUUCAAAUGACUUCUUUUGGUGCGACAAAAAUUGUAAGAGAUAAUUUUAUGCCGACGUUCAAGGUGAGGUUCUUCUUCUUCAUCUUCCUUCCUCCUUCUUCUUUCUCCUUGUUCUUCCUUCUUCGUCUCACAUAUUACAGAUUCAGGGUCAGAUUUACCACCGCGCUGGCUCAUUAUUACCAUAUCCUGAUACCGACCGUCAAUUCUUACAAAUCUAUUUCGUUGGAAAUGAAAAUCGCGAAUUGGAUCGGCGAUGUACAAUUGCUUCCAGGGCAAGGCGACAAAUUGUUUCUGAGCUUCAAACAAUUUUUCAUCAACACAAUGAAUUAGUUCGAUUAUUCAAAAUCGCUCUCGAUCGUAUGCCAUCGGAUAACCACAAAAUCAUCAUAAAAGCCGAUAGAACACCCAUUGAAGAGCACGCAAGACGAUUUAAUGCACCGACAAUCGAUGAUGUGGCUAUUGUAAUUGUUGGAGACCAGUUUCAAUCUCGCGACAUCGUAGAAGAAGAAAUAAGCAAUUACAGCGAGUUUCAGAGCUUCACCGCAGCUAUGAUGGAUUACAAUAUCCAUUAUUGUACUGGAAAGGUGAUGACGCCUAUAAUAUCCUUAUACCAAUGAUAGAUCCACAAACCGGUCGUGACAUUCAAAAAAAAGUUAGUGCGAUGAACUAUUAUUCGUACAGAUUCAUGAUUCGCCCACAAGAAGACAAUUUCAUUUUGAGAUGUUGCAAACUUUUCAAUCAAUACGCUGUUGACAUGUACGCAAAAAUAGAAACAGAACGUCUGAAUUACCUUCGAUUCAAUCAAACAAAAUUACGAUCGGAAGAAUAUAUACAUUUGCGAGAUGCAAUAGUGAAUGAUGGUAAUGCAAAUGAUAUCGGACGUUUAACAAUAUUACCAUCCACAUAUGUCGGCAGUGCGCGUCACAUGCAUGAAUACACGCAAGAUGCAAUGUCAUACGUUCGCAAAUAUGGUCGACCAGACUAAUUUAUAACAUUUACAUGCAAUCCACAGUGGGCGGACAUAAAUGAUAAUUUAUUUGUUGGUCAAAAACCAAUUGAUCGGCACGAUAUAACUGCGCGUGUAUUUCGACAGAAAUUAAAGGCAUUGAUAGAUUUGAUUGUCAAAUUUAAAAUA